UUAGAUGCUGCCUUCUGGGCUCUUUCUCAGUUUUACUUGUGUUUCUCUUCAGAACAAACUUCCUUUAGGGUUCCUGGUGACUUCGUGCUCUCUGUUUUCUCCCUUCAAAAUUCAACUUUCAGAAGAACGUAUGCAAGUAUAACUGUGCACUAUACAGUGAUGCUUUGUAAAUGUUCGUUCUUGCGUGAUAAUGCAGUGAUCCUCAGAACUGAUCUGCUUCCAUCAAGUAGAUUCCAGAGUCCAGGCCCCUGUACAUGUUUUCAGGAAAGUGAAGGCACUUCUAUGCACACCAUAUCUGAAACCUCUACACUAAAGAUAGAAGAAAAAAAAAUGUGUUAGUCCUAAGUCAUUAGGGAAAAUGUCAUUUGUUUUUUGGCUUGUCAGAUUAAGCUACAAUCAGAACGUCUGAGAGUUCCUUGGCUUUUGACUUCCGACCACAAGUUUAUCUCGCCACAGAAGCCAUUCAGGGUGUCGUAGUCCUGGCUUGGGGCACUGGGUUGCAGUGUCCUCUGUGGCAUCUGUCUUGUCAGCCUGGAUGCCUCUCCUGGCUUCAGGCACGUGCAACUGGUUUUAUGGAGCUAGGAUCCUGUUUGACCAAGAUCAAGCCUUGAAAAAGAGA